rnacentral:rRNA from 1 species
UACGGAGGGGGCUAGCGUUGUUCGGAAUUACUGGGCGUAAAGCGCGCGUAGGCGGACCUGCAAGUCGGGGGUGAAAGCCCGAGGCUCAACCUCGGAACUGCCUUCGAUACUGCGGGUCUCGAGUCCGGGAGAGGUGAGUGGAAUUCCUAGUGUAGAGGUGAAAUUCGUAGAUAUUAGGAAGAACACCAGUGGCGAAGGCGGCUCACUGGCCCGUUUCUGACGCUCAGGCACGAAAGCGUGGGGAGCAAACAGG